UACGAAGGGGGCUAGCGUUGCUCGGAAUCACUGGGCGUAAAGCGCACGUAGGCGGCUUACUAAGUCAGGGGUGAAAUCCUGGAGCUCAACUCCAGAACUGCCUUUGAUACUGGUAGCUCGAGUCCGGGAGAGGUGAGUGGAACUGCGAGUGUAGAGGUGAAAUUCGUAGAUAUUCGACAAGAACACCAGUGGCGAAGGCGGCUCCACUGGCCCGGUACUGACGCUGAGGUGCGAAAGCGUGGGGAGCAAACAGG
rnacentral:rRNA from 1 species